rnacentral:rRNA from 1 species
AUUGAACGCUAGCGGCAGGCCUAACACAUGCAAGUCGAACGAGUGGCGGACGGGUGAGUAAUGUAUGGGAACCUGCCCGAUGGAGGGGGAUAACUACUGGAAACGGUAGCUAAUACCGCAUACUAUCGGAUGUGCCCAUAUGGGAUUAGCUAGUAGGUGGGGUAAUGGCUCACCAAGGCGACGAUCCCUAGCUGGUCUGAGAGGAUGACCAGCCACACUGGAACUGAGACACGGUCCAGACUCCUACGGGAGGCAGCAGUGGGGAAUAUUGGACAAUGGGGGCAAGCCUGAUGCAGCCAUGCCGCGUGUAUGAAGAAGGCCUUCGGGUUGUAAAGUACUUUCAGCGAGGAGGCGUUACUCGCAGAAGAAGCACCGGCUAACUCCGUGCCAGCAGCCGCGGUAAUAC